rnacentral:lncRNA from 1 species
GAGCCGUUUGGGGGACGCAGUCCGGUGAAAGAUGGCCUCUUCCCUCCCGCUGCCGCCGCCGGAGGAGGCGCCCUUAAAAGGGCUUGUUUGGGAAUCUUCUCGCUGUCUCUAGAACCUGUUCUCUGGACUCUAAGGUCUAGAGUCCUCCUCUACCACUUAACUUUUUUCUCUUUCCAGGGCCAAGGGCCCCAUCUCCUACUAAGCCUCUGCGGAGGUCCCAGCGGAAAUCAGGCUCUGAACUCCCGAGCAUCCUCCCUGAAAUCUGGCCGAAGACACCCAGUGCGGCUGCAGUCAGAAAGCCCAUCGUCUUAAAGAGGAUCGUGGCCCAUGCUGUAGAGGUCCCAGCUGUCCAAUCACCUCGCAGGAGCCCUAGGUCUCUUAGGGGCAGACAAAGAGCCCACUCCAAGCUGGCCAACAAGCCAGUGGUGCAGCCUGUUGAGGAGCAAGAACCCAAGGGCCCUCAGGCUUCCGAGGAGCGGAACUUGGAGCCACCUUCCUCAGAACAACUGGAACCCACCGUCACGUUCCUGUUUACACUCCUGAACACCUCUGAGCCCACUGAG